AACUUAUCGGGAGAGACCCCUCCGGGGCGCCGAAGAUGCAAGUGCUGUUCUGUCAAAACAGUGCGAAACUUUCAGGCAAAAGGACCGAGCGUG
rnacentral:ncRNA from 1 species